rnacentral:rRNA from 1 species
GAUUCGGGGACGAAAUGUCCUCGACCUAUUCUCAAACUUUAAAUAGGUAAGAGGGUGCGGCUGCUCCAUUGAGCCGCGCCGUGGAAUCGAGAGCUCCAAGUGGGCCAUUUUUGGUAAGCAGAACUGGCGAUGAGGGAUGAACCUAACGUUGGGUUAAGGUGCUUAACUGCUCGCUCAUCAGAUACCAUAAAGGGUGUUGGUUCAUUUUAACAGCAGGACGGUGGUCAUGGAAGUCGAAACCCGCUAAGGAGUGUGUAACAACUCACCUGCCGAAUGAACUAGCCCGGAAAAUGGAUGGCGCUGAAGCGAGCGACUUAUACUCAACCACUAAGGCAAGUGCGAAGCCUUAGUGAGUAGGAGGGCGUGGAGGUUGUGGCGCAUCUUGCGGCGUGAGCCGGAGUGAAACAGCCUCUAGUGCAGAUCUUGGUGGUAGU